CCUACGGGAGGCAGCAGUGGGGAAUAUUGCACAAUGGGGGGAACCCUGAUGCAGCAACGCCGCGUGGGUGAAGAAGUAUUUCGGUAUGUAAAGCCCUAUCAGCAGGAGAGAGAAUGACGGUACCUGACUAAGAAGGCCCGGCUAACUACGUGCCAGCAGCCGCGGUAAUACGUAGGCGGCGAGCGUUAUCCGGAUGUACUGGGUGUAAAGGGAGCGUAGAUGGUCUUGUAAGUCUGUAGUGAAAGUUCGCGGCUCAACCGCGGAACUGCUUUGGAAACUGUGUAACUGGAGUGCAGGAGAGGUGAGCGGAAUUCGUGGUGUAGCGGUGAAAUGCGUAGAGAUCACGAGGAACACCGACUGCGAAGGCAGCUUACUGGUCAGUAACUGACGCUGAGGCUCGAAAGCGUGGGUAGCAAACAGGAUUAGAUACCCGAGUAGUC
rnacentral:rRNA from 1 species